AAAAAAAAACUAUCAAAUUAUCCUCCCCAAAAAAAAUAACUUUAGUAUCAAGUCAAGACCAAUAAUAGUUAGUUUUCUGUAAAUACUGUUUUGGAAUCCCACUUAGCCAGGAUGUGUCUUUUCGUAGGCAGCAAGUUGUUAGUGUCAUCUUCAUGACAUUUAAGAAACUUUUUUUAGAUCAACAAUUUGCUUGGAUUUAGAGGGAAAUUAGGGUACAUGUGUGAGGUAUCUGUUACAAGAUAAGGCAAGAGGCACAUAUUAAUUGAUUGAAUGUACUAUGAUGGUUUGCAAAGGUCACCUUCUUAGAUAAAUACAACCUCUUCCAACCAGCUAGCCUUCGCUCCGUCUUCUCCAAAAUAGGAUUCCAAAUCGUCUUAUCUUUAAAAGAAGCACCCAAUGGAAGACCUAAAUAUUUCAGCAGAAGAGCCAACUCCCUACAGCCCAAAAUCUCCACUGGCUCAUGAAGAUUAGGCACAUCCCCAAUUGGAACCAAUUCAGACUUUCCUAAAUUAAUUUUUAGCCCUGACAUCUCCUCAAAUCUAGAGAAAAUCCCACGCAAGGCUUUUAUAUGAUUGCUAUCAGCAUCACAGAAAACAAGUGUAUCAUCCGCGAACAAAAGGUGAGACAUCGUGGGAUAGGCAUUAGGUGUUUGAGAAGGUUUAACUCUGCCUUAUUAGCCAAAUGGCUGUGGCGCUAUGGUUUGGAGAAUGAUGCCCUUUGGAGAAGGGUCAUUGGGGUGAAGUAUGGGAAUGAGUGGGGUGGUUGGUGCACAAAAUCUGCGUCUGGGGCAUAUGGUGUUUGUUUGUGGAAGUUCAUUUGGAGUGGCUGGGGGAAUUUUUCCAAGUUCAUUCGGUAUGAAGUGGGUGAUGGAACUUAUGUGAAUUUUUGGGAUGAUGUGUGGUGUAGGGAUCGACCUCUUAAGGAGACGUUUCUAGAUUUUUAUAAUAUUAGUAGGAUAAGGGAUGCUUCGGUCUCUGAGGUUCUGUGCUUUGUAAAUGGAAGAAUUUCUUGGGACAUUCAGUUUUUUCGUUUAGUGAAUGAUCACAAUCUUUGGAUUCGUUUAUGGUUUUGACCUAUUCCACAAAGGUGCAGGGUGUUGGUUCUGACAAUCUUUGUUGGAAGCCAGCCAACAGUUAAGGUUUCAAGGUGAGUGUGUAUUAUCAUUCUAUUUCCCCUUCUAUUGGCAUUUCUUUCCCUUGGAAAAUGGUGUGGCAAUCGAAGGUUCCUCCUCAGGUAGCUUUUUUCUCUUGGACUGCGGUUUUAGGCAAGAUUCUAACUAUAGACAACCUUCGGAAGAGGCACUUUGUUGUCCUUGAGUGGUGUUUUAUGUGCAAAAGGUGUGGGGAAUCUGUAGAUCAUCUCCUCCUUCAUUGUCCUAUAGCCUUUGAGAUGUGGAGUAUGAUCUUUUGCUUGUUUGGUAUUUGUUGGGUGAUGCCUCAAAGGGUAGUGGAUUUGUUGGAUUGUUGGACAUGCAAAUUCAGGCGUCAUUGUAAUAUAGUUAUUUGGAGGCUUGUGCCACACUGUUUGAUGUGGUGUAUCUGGCGGGAAUGGAAUUCUAGAAGUUUUGAGGGUCGUGAACGGUCCAUGAUUGAGUUUAAGUCUUUCUUCUUUUUUACUCUUCUCGAAUGGUGUCUUGUUCUACCAUCUUUUUCUUGUAUUUCCCUUCCUGUGUUGCUAGAUCAUUGUAAUUUGGUUUCUUGAUGUUUUUGCCUUUUUGUACAUUUUCUAUGUACUGGGCUGUGUGUUUUUUAAUAAAAAUUUUUGUUACUUGUAAAAAAAAAAACAAAGGUCACCUAAGGGUGUACAGUUGGCAUUCAGUUAAUGAAUGUAGGUUUGAGUGAGAUAACUGGGAGAAUAACUAGCACCUCUUGGUGUUUCCAAUGGAGACAUUCGGGGUUCAAAUCCCCCCCAACCCAUUGUAACUAUCGGAUUAUCAAAAAAGAUACUUAUCAAAAAAAACUAUCGGAUUAUCAAAAAAGAUAAUUGGCAGAUAUGUUGAUAUCUCAUCCAUAGGCAUUUAGUAUGUGCUGAUUGAAGUCGUUACAUAAUGUGAAAAUUAAAGGGAAAAAAGAAGGAAAAACUCAGAAAUUGUUAAUGAAACUUUUUAAAAUUUUGAUAGCAAAUUAGUUCACUGGAGUUAUAAAUUAUGAAAAAUGGAUUUGAAUCAUAGCAGGCUGCUCACACUUUAACUUCAUCAAUUCUACAAUUGUGAUUGGUGAAUGUAUAUCCACAAAUGAAAUUUUUUAUUAUAAU